UUUUCGCAGAACUGCGCUCUGGGACGGCUAAUUGUUGAGUCCUCGUCGUCGUCUUCCCCACAAGAAGAGGGCUUUGCUCAGCAAUUAAGGCAGGCUGCCUGAGAACGAGGCCUCUCCAUGUUAGAUCCGGGUUUGACCGCCCCCCUCCCCCAUGAAAGAAGCAUCGCCUGCUUUUCACUGAGCCGACGGUGAGCCGGAGCUCUGCACCCGACAGCAAGGCAGGCCCCACCCCGCUGUGUCCGGGUGUCGCAAUACCAGGAGGCGAGACCGCCGCAGGCACAGCAGGGCAUGAAGGCAAGCCUUCAGACGUCUUGUUUCUCCUCCCAGUGAACCAACAGGAGCGAAGAUCGCCUUUGGUUUGGUUCGUCCACACGGUGGCUUCGGCCCUCUCCCUUCCUUUGUGCUGCAUUUCAGCCUCACGGGGAAAAGGGAAGUAACUCGCAGAAAAAAGAGCCGGAUCGUGAGUCAGGUCCUCCUGGCGUUUAGCACAGUCUUGGACCAUAACAGGAAGUCCAUAAAGUAAGUGAGUGAAUGAAUGGACAAAGCUGACUCAACCCAGCUCUUCUCGCCCCGCAGCGCUCCGUCUCUGAGUGAGGAGGGCCCAAGAGCAGCACAAUAUUGUCCUUAACAGCCCUUUCCAGUUUCUCAUUCACCUAGUCCUUUGUGAGCUGUGGAUUUUAAAGAGCAAGGAUUACUUCCCCAAGGCCAAGUAAUUUUACUAGCAAAGUACACUAAACUUCCAAAACAAGAAAAAGAAAGAAAAGAAAAAUGCUCAAGUAAUUUUAUAAGACUGAUAGACGCUUGAGUCAAAAUCAGGAAAGAACAGUAUAAGAAACAAUAAUUAUAAGCCAAUUUCACUUUGCAUGUAGGGGGAGGCUCGAACAAAAAGGCUUGAUUUCACUUUAAAGACUGCCAAGAACGAUGCCGGAAGUCUUAAUAGCCGGCGACCUGCAUUGCAGGUCCCUGAAUCAGUAAACAAGUAACAGACAAAAUAUUUGAGAUAAAGACAAGUCAGAAGGUGGAUGCAGCUUCCCAAUUCUGGCCUCGUUUCUCAGAGAUGUACUUCCUAAGUUUUGUUUUCACAGAAGAGAGGGCAGGAUGAGAAACCCACCACAUCAAAGGAGCCCAAGUCACCAGCUGCCGUCCACGUGUGCUUCAGCAAAAGGAAAGGCGUCACAUUGUCAUUCAAGGGUCUGUCUCCCACUAUAUAAAGCAAUCCCUUGUUAUCCUACAGUGACCGCAACUUUGUGUUGUUAAUGCACUGUGUUUUUAUUGCAUUACUGGGUCCACAGUUGGCUGGACCAGAACCUAUUACGUAUAUACACAAAGCUCCUAAAAAUGUAUGUCGGCAAUUUGAAAUCUGCAGUGUAUGCUGAAAAUAAAUAAUGACCAGGUUGGCUAUAUCUUAGAAGGACAGGGAUGACAGAAUAUUAAAAGUGCUCAUAAUGUGAUGCAACACAUCAGAACAGGACAGAAAGCUUAUUUGUUCAUGGAAAACAAUGCAUGGUGUUAAAGCAACCUCAGUUUAUGAUUUUUAGUUAAAAACUUAAAUUUUAAAAUUAAAAAAUCAAAACCGGGAAAAAAAAAGAAUUUCUUGUCCAGAUAUAAUCUGUUUGCCACACAAUGAAUUUAUUCUUGUGCAAGAAAGCCCAGAGUCUUGACUGGGCUAAGUCCCCCCUUAGACCCGGAGCACCUGCUAAGCACAGCUUUUUAAGGGGACCGUACCCACACCCCAGGCCUGGUUUGAACUGGAAUGUGGUUCGUGUCUUUCUGAAACACAGUGAGCAACACGAUUGCUCCAGGGAGACCAUGGUCUCUCCAGAAGUUCCCUUCCUCUUGCCGGAACUCGUCUUCCGGUGGCUGGCAGUGGUUCAGCUCCCCCAGAGCACGAGGGCUCGAGCCUCCCUGAAUACACCUGACUCCCGCUCCCCAGGCACAUGCCCCCUUAUCCUGGUGAGUGAGGUGCCGUCAUGCUCUCCAUUUGGCACCCGAGGCCCAGAAAGUCCCCAACAGCUGAGCUGAGGCCACGCUGUCCCCUCGAUGGGCUGAGGAAACAGACAGCUAACCCAUUUAACUCCAAAGCCCCAGAGUGACAAAGCGAUGCAUCACAAUCUGUCUGACACCCUCUUGUCCACUCUGUCUGGGAAGACGCAAAGUGAAUUAGAGAAAGAGCAGGCCGCAGUAAGAAAACGCCCCCAGCCCCAGGGGAGCAGCCCAGGACAGCGUCUGCCUGGUUGACGGCUCGGAUGUGCGGGUGAGAUCAGAGCAUCCGGCCCCAGAGGCCACCCGUGUGGACGGCUGUGUCCCUGCUCCCCAGGGCUUGUCAGAAACUGUCACGGUGCCGUUACGCCUCCUUCCUUGUUUCCCUCUCCGUGCCUCUGGUUCCUCUCCAGCUCCAACCGCUGAGGCGUUCUGGGAUUUAAUAACAAAGGAAAGAGGGCUCAGACUGAGCUUCCCUCGCAUCUUGGAGCUGGACAAAAAGAUGCUCGAUGUAAUGCCCUGGGGCCAGCUGCUGCUCCAUUUCCAACAGUGGCAAUGUGGUUUGUAAAGGAAUCUCUUUUUUUUUCCUUAAAUGAGACACUCUGAUGCCCUUGCCUUCUCUACACAGCCACUUGGCCGUCCCGGAAGCCUCAGGACCUGAGCAUCCACAGUGAAUCCAUUAGAUCACCAGCUCAGGAAGGGUGUUGCCAAGGCUUAAAACGUUUUCUGUCUCUGCUACUUAGAACAAUGACUUGCACAUCCCACGCCUUCAACAGACACUUAUUGGUGGGGAUAGCCUCCCUCCCAGUCAUACUGUAAAAACCUCACUUUCCAGUGAAUGAGCCCCUCUAGGCUGGACCGUAACUGAAUCUGCUUUUAAAAAUAAAAUAGGAAGGAGCCAAGACCUGGGAGCACCCCAAAUGUCCAUCCACAGAUGACCGGAUAAAGACGUGGUAUAUACACACAAUGAAAUACUCUUCAGCCAUAAAAAAGAAUAAAAUAAUGCCAUUUGCAGCAACAUGGUUGGACCUAGAGAUGAUCAUACCAAGUGAAGCUCCGCCCAAACACCCGAGAAAAACCUUCCAUAGCAGUUAAGACACAUGGGGAAACCAUAAGGGAGGAUGAAGCUGAGUUUGAGGGCGUGGAAAUUGACAUGACCGCCUCCCUCCCAUCAAGAACAUCAAGUCCUGAGCUUUCUGGGUAGUGGAAGGCAAGUCGUUCCCAGAAAUCACAGAAUUGUGGAGCAGGUAAGAAACUUAAAAACUCAUCAGCAAAGGAAUAUCCAUGAGGCCAUGGUGAUGGAAAUAAAUGAUUGACUACGUGAAUGAAUAGCGAGAAGUGGCAAGUUUUCCUCACAGAAGAAUUACAAGCAAUAAAUGUGAAAAGGAGAGAAACAGAAAGUUACCAUUAGACACCCCAGGGAUAACACCUGCGAGGAAAAUAAAGGAAUGAAUGCUCAAGUCUGAGCGUGAAGCUUUAAGAAGAAACAGGAUAUGUGUAUAUCCUCAAAAUUUACGCCCCCAAAAUCUUUAUCAAUCACUCUGGUGCUUUGAACAUAUGUCUGCAAAUUCUCUGAUACGGCUCCCUUCAAGAGACAGAGCUAAUGUUCACUCUUCCUCUGAAUGUGAGCUGAACUGUGACAUUUCCAAAGAGCUGAAGAUUGAAAGGCAAUAAUACUAACUUGACAGUUGUGGAAACUGGCAGACACCUCCUUAACCAAAUGACCGGUUAACAUCACCAGCAAUGAGUCGUGCUGUUGUCUUGUCCCCCCUGAUAUGAUGUGAUGAGAAAAUCGCCUCCCCCAAAAUGCAUAAUCUUAGUCCUAUUGUGAGAGAAUGUGAGACAAACCCGCAUGGAGGAGCCUUCUAUGAGACACCUGACUGGCACACUUUGAAAAGACCAAAGGCAUUUAAAGAAAAAAGGAAACACUGAGAAACUGUCACAAACUGAAGGAGGUUAAGUGCCAUGUGCGAUCCGGAAUGGGACUCUGGACCCAAAAGAGGAUAUUAAUGGAAAAACUGGGGGAAUUUGAAUAAAGUCUGCAGUUUUGUUAA